rnacentral:rRNA from 1 species
GGAUAAGUUACUAAGGGCGUAUGGAGGAUGCCUAGGCUCUUGAAGGCGAUGAAGGACGUGUUAAGCUGCGAUAAGCUUCGAGGAGGUGCCAAAAAACCGCUAUAGUCGAAGAUUUCCGAAUGGGAAAACCCACCCGAUUUAUCGGGUCUAAAUUGGCCAACCCGCUGAACUGAAACAUCUAAGUAAGCGGAGGAAAAGAAAAUAAAUAAUGAUUCCCCAAGUAGUGGCGAGCGAACGGGGAAAAGCCCAAACCAUAUAUGUUAAGGCAUAUACGGGGUUGUAGGACUACAAUAUCUAUAUAAAAAUAAAUGCGAAGCUUCUGAAAAGUUGCUCCAUAGAAGGUGAUAGACCUGUAGCAGUAAGUUUUUAUAUCGUAGUAGUAUCCUGAGUAGCGCGGGACCGGAGAAAUCCUGCGUGAAUCUGCCGGCACCAUCCGGUAAGGCUAAAUACUCUCAAGAGACCGAUAGUGAACAAGUACCGUGAGGGAAAGGUGAAAAGAACCUUGAAUAAAGGAGUGAAAUAGUACCUGAAACCAUACGCUUACAAGCGGUCAGAGCCAGUUUUCUGGUGAUGGCGUGCCUUUUGCAUAAUGAGCCUACGAGUUACUCCUCUCUGGCAAGAUUAAAUCGCUAAGCGAUGUAGUCGAAGCGAAAGCAAGUCUGAAUAGGGCGUACAGUCAGAGGGGGUAGACGCGAAACUUUGUGAUCUACCCAUGGUCAGGAUGAAGUGACGGUAACACGUCAUGGAGGUCCGAACCGGUAAACGUUGAAAAGUUUUCGGAUGAACUGUGGGUAGGGGUGAAAGGCUAAUCAAACUGAGAGAUAGCUCGUACUCCCCGAAAUGUUUUUAGGAACAGCCUCAAGAAUAGUAUAUAAGAGGUAGAGCUACUGGUUGGGCAAGGGGGUGUCAAAGCCUACCGAACUCAAAUAAACUCCGAAUACUUAUAUAUGAUACUUGGGAGUGAGGGCUUGGGUGCUAAGGUCCAAGUCCGAGAGGGAAAGAACCCAGAUUAUCAGCUAAGGUCCCCAAGUUUAUACUAAGUUGAACUAAUGUGGUCCAUUCGCACUGACAGCUAGGAUGUUUGCUUGGAAGCAGCAAUUCAUUUAAAGAGUGCGUAACAGCUCACUAGUCGAGCGGAUGGGUACAAAUAAUAAACGGGCAUUAAGUAUAGCACCGAAGCUAUAAAUUCCACGUAAGUGGUCUGGUAGGGGAGCAUUCUGCAUGCGAUGAAGAGAUUUCGUAAGAAUCAUUGGAGCGUGUAGAAAAGCAAAUGUAGGCAUAAGUAACGAUAAUAAAGGUGAAAAACCUUUACUUCGAUAGACUAAGGUUUCCUGAUCAACGAUAAUCGUAUCAGGGUUAGUCGGGACCUAAGGCGAACCGAUUCAGGGUAGUCGAUGGACAACAGGUUAAUAUUCCUGUACUAGUGGUGAGGGACGGAGAAAUGUAGCAAUCAAAGCGGACGGAAGUGCGAAGCCUAACCUUCGGGUGAAGCGCGAUUGUGAAAAUUCUUCCAAGAAAAGCUCCCACAUAAACCCGUACCGCAAACCGACACAGGUAGUCAAGAUGAGUAUUCUAAGAAGCUCGAGUGAUCCAUGGUUAAGGAACUAGGCAAAUUAACCCUGUAACUUCGGGAUAAGGGGUACCUUAUUAAUUUAAGGUCACAGUAAAAUGGCGCAGGCGACUGUUUAUCAAAAACACAUGGCUCUGCUAAAACGAAAGUUGACGUAUAGGGUCUGACACCUGCCCGGUGCCGGAAGGUUAAGAGGGGAGGUUAGCGCAAGCGAAGCUUUGAAUCGAAGCCCCGGUAAACGGCGGCCGUAACUAUAACGGUCCUAAGGUAGCGAAAUUCCUUGUCGGGUAAGUUCCGACCUGCACGAAUGGUGUAACGAUCUGCGCACUGUCUCAACCAUGAGCUCGGUGAAAUUGUAGUCUCGGUGAAGAUGCCGGGUACCCGCAACGGGACGGAAAGACCCUAUGCACCUUUACUAUAGCUUUACAUUGAGUUUGGGCAAAUAAUGUGUAGGAUAGGCGGGAGACUUUGAAGCGGUAACGCUAGUUAUCGUGGAGUCAACGGUGAAAUACCGCCCUUUAUUUGUUUGAAUUCUAAUCCGUCUAAGACGGAGACAUUGUAUGGUGGGUAGUUUGACUGGGGUGGUCGCCUCCAAAAAAGUAUCGGAGGCUUUCAAAGGUGUUCUCAGCACGCUUGGUAACCGUGCGUAGAGUGCAAUAGCAUAAGAACGCUUGACUGUAAGGCCUACAAGCCGAGCAGGUACGAAAGUAGGAUAUAGUGAUCCGGUGGUUCCGUAUGGAAGGGCCAUCGCUCAUAGGAUAAAAGGUACGCUAGGGAUAACAGGCUGAUCUCCCCCAAGAGAUCAUAUCGACGGGGAGGUUUGGCACCUCGAUGUCGGCUCAUCACAUCCUGGGGCUGGAGAAGGUCCCAAGGGUUGGGCUGUUCGCCCAUUAAAGUGGUACGUGAGCUGGGUUCAGAACGUCGUGAGACAGUUCGGUCCCUAUCUGUUGUGGGCGUUAGAAAUUUGAGAGGAUCUGACUUUAGUACGAGAGGACCGAGUUGGACAAACCUCUGGUGUAUCUGUUGUUCCGCCAGGAGCAUUGCAGAGUAGCUAAGUUUGGAUAAGAUAAGCGCUGAAAGCAUCUAAGCGCGAAACUUGCCUCAAGAUGAGAUUUCUUUAUAAGGGUCGUAGAAGAUUACUACGUUGAUAGGCUACAGAUGUAAGUAUAGUAAUAUAUGUGUCGAGUAGUACUAAUUACCCGUAGACUUACCAUU